rnacentral:misc_RNA from 2 species
AACGCAUAUUGCGCCCUUUGGCAUUCCGAAGGGCAUACCUGUUCGAGCGUCAUUACACCCCUCAAAGAUGACUCUUUGGCGUUGGGCAAUGCCUAAAGGCAUGCCUCAAAAUCAGCGAUGGUGAUAUUCAACCACAGGCGCACACACGUCGUCUAGCUGGCGGGAUGUUGACAGUCAAUUGAUGAAUUUCUAAAUGUUGACCUCGGAUCAGGUAGGAAUACCCGCUGAACUUAA